rnacentral:misc_RNA from 1 species
AAGGAUCAUUACCUAGAGUUUGCGGGCUUUGCCUGCUAUCUCUUACCCAUGUCUUUUGAGUACUUACGUUUCCUCGGUGGGUUCGCCCGCCGAUUGGACAAUUUAAACCCUUUGCAGUUGCAAUCAGCGUCUGAAAAAAAUUAAUAAUUACAACUUUCAACAACGGAUCUCUUGGUUCUGGCAUCGAUGAAGAACGCAGCGUAGCCACAAGGCAUCGAUGUGGAAGUAAAAGUCGUAACAAGGCAUCGAUGAAGAACGCAGCGUAGCCACAUCGAUGUGGAAGUAAAAGUCGUAACAAG